rnacentral:rRNA from 1 species
UACGUAGGAUGCAAGCGUUGUCCGGAAUUAUUGGGCGUAAAGAGCGAGCAGGCGGUUUGGAAAGUUGGACGUGAAAUUUUAGGGCUUAACCCUAAAGGGUCGUCCAAAACUCCCAGACUAGAGUGCAGGAGAGGAAAGCGGAAUUCCCGGUGUAGUGGUGAAAUGCGUAGAUAGUGCGGAGGAACACCGGUGGCGAAGGCGGGUCUCUGGGCCGAAACUGACGCUGGAGGAGCGAAAGCGUGGGGAGCGAACAGG